rnacentral:lncRNA from 1 species
GGGUGCAUCCAGUUUCUGCGCCCAGAUUUUAUUGAUCUAAUCCAAAGUAUCUUAUAACUUCUGGCUGGAAUUAAGAUUCUUCAGCUUGUUGUCUCUAACAGAGGAAGCAUUGAUUGGGAGCUACUCAUUCAGAAAAUUAAAAGAAAGAAGCCAGAAAAUAUUAUCAACCCUUUGAGAACACGACAUAACGAACUUUAUAUUUUACCACUUCCUUGAAUAGGAG